rnacentral:rRNA from 1 species
CAGCCGUAAACUAUGCGCGUUAGGUGUAUCGGUGACCCACGGAGUUACCGAGGUGCCGAAGGGAAACCAUGAAACGUGCCGCCUGGGAAGUACGGUCGCAAGGCUGAAACUUAAAGGAAUUGGCGGGGGAGCGACCACAACAGGUGGAGCCUGCGGUUUAAUUGGAUUCAACGCCGGACAUCUCACCGGAUAAGACAGCUGAAUGAUUGUCAAUCUGAAGGUUUUACAUGUACUAGCUGAGAGGAGGUGCGAUGGCGUCAGUGACU